GAUGCCUCGUGCCCACAGCAGAUCGUUCUCCGCCGCCAACCAGCCCUUCGCACACCCGAUCCACCCCUUCGCCCCCGCCGGACAUCCAUCCCUGUGCCGCGGCCGAUCCUAUCCUUCGCCGUCGCCCUCGCACAUCACAGCCGCCGCCCGUCCAUCGUACGAUCUGCUUCAGGAUCGCUUCACGAGACGGCGCCGCGAUCCCGUUUAGGAGACGCCGGCGAUCACGCCCAGGAUCCGACGGCGAUCCCCUUCUGGACAGGCACAUCCUCUCGAACGCACAACUUGCAUUCGUCCCUGCGCUACUUUCGUCCCUUCGUCGCCGCCCUCCCAUCGAUCUGCCGCCGAUCCCUGCGGAGCUUCCCUCCCCAAUCCGAUCUGACGGAGAGAGUGCCAGAUCCGGCCGGGGGAGCCGCCGUAGAGCCUCCACGUCGGUGGAGCAGCACCUCCUGCCACGGGUGCCGCCGCCACCUCCUGCCUCACGACCCUUUGCCGCGACUCCGCCCCCAAGCGCCGCUCCCGCACGCAACCCUAACCCUAUCCCGCCAUGCCUCGCUACCUCGCCGCUUGAGCCGCGCUGAUGGAGCCCGAGCAGCGGUGGUCGACCCCGUCGCCGCCGCCGAGCCUGUGGAUGAGGAGAAGGAAAAGGAGGAGGAGACGGAGGCGGCCGAGGACUAGGAGGACACGCUGCUGGACCGCGCGCAGCCUGAUCUCACGGGUCCCUUUGCACAUGUGCAGUUCGUCAAUGGACCAAUGCCUAAUCUCCCCAAGGUUGAUGUUUCACUGGACCCGGUGAAGGAGUUGAGCAGAGUAAUAUCUGAGCGAAAAAAUUGAGGGGCGUGCUUUGGUUGUGCUCUCAGCCAGGUUAUUUUACGAGGGUUGUGUGCACUGAACCCCAUUUCUCUGGACCAAGGGACGAUGAACAAGAUGGGAAUGAGGAGGAUGCGACCUAUAGAUGGUUGCUAUGGAUCAGGAGGUUAACUAAUACAUGCAUCAGCUUUGUAUCAUAAAGAUUUCACCAUCCCAAGGUAAUGGAAAUAAGUUCACAAGAUUCUCAUGUUGAGGUCUGUACAAAGAGAUACAAGGCAAUGUCUGUGUGCUGGAACGAGAAACUCACUGCCAAAGCUAUAAUCCCUGAUGCUAAAGCCUGCAUGUUCAGAUCUGCUGAGUUUACUCAUAUUAAUAAUGAUUAAUACAGAGGGAGCCCUUUUGUCAGGUCAUUUAAUCAUUUAAUCAUAGGUACAUUAUCUCAGAGGGAGUAUUUCAUUUUCUACCUGAACCAAGUUGUUAUUUCAUUUCUAAGAGGCAAAGAGUUCCUCCUGGUUAGUUUGCCACAUUUUAUAUGUCUAUCUAUGUGCAUUACUAAUUCACUAUAUGCACCUUUAGUUCCCAGUUUUGGCUCACUUUCUUGAUGCAUCUUGGAUGAGAGGAAAGGAAUGGAUAAUCUGACAAGCAAUGUUCGGGCAUACCCUUAUAUUUACGUCUGAUGAAAUGCUGCGGGUGCAAAAUAAUCAAGACUGCUGCCAUGAGCAAAAGAGCAGACAUUACUUAUGAGAAAACAAUAAAAGAAUCUUCCGUGACUACAUACCACGACGAGUCAAAGACAAUGAAAGCACUACUCCAUUGGUGGUGUUAGCAAGUGGAGUCUGGAGGGAGAACAACACAAAGUAGGAAAUUGAUUCCCUCGCCCUCGCUUGCUUCAACGACCCUGCCCGUCUUGGUGGGGUCGAUUCCCCCAUCGCCCGACUCAUCUCCGACGAGUAUGGCGUCAGUGGGUACGCCCCGCCAUUCGUAUGCUUGGCGGGUCCCAGAACACCCGUGACGUGUAUGAGCUUGACUAGGGCGAGGGGCUCGUGCUCGUGCUCGAGCUCGACAAGACGCACUUCGAUCUCGUCACCAACUACGAGCUGGACUGUGAGACUCCAGAGCAGGCGGGGGUGACGAAGACGAAAGUGGGGGCAGUUCGAGCUUGUCGCUGCCGGAGACCCUGGAGAGGUGCGCGAAGAGACCUGGUUAGAUUUGUUGGCCACCACUGGUAAACUGCACUAAUAACAAAUCGGAUGUCAUCUCUCAUGUUGCGGAUUCAACCCUGGACGAUGUUGCGUGGCCUGCGGCCAUGGACGAUGUGCUGUUGGACAACGACACAAGGCCGAGGC
rnacentral:rRNA from 1 species